rnacentral:rRNA from 1 species
UACGAAGGGGGCUAGCGUUACUCGGAUUGACUGGGCGUAAAGGGCGCGUAGGCGGUUUGUACAGUCAGACGUGAAAUUCCUGGGCUCAACCUGGGGGCUGCGUUUGAUACGUGCGGACUUGAGUUCGGAAGAGGGUCGUGGAAUUCCCAGUGUAGAGGUGAAAUUCGUAGAUAUUGGGAAGAACACCGGUGGCGAAGGCGGCGACCUGGUCCGAUACUGACGCUGAGGCACGAAAGCGUGGGGAUCAAACAGG